GUGUGACUUUUUCAGAAGGUGAGUUACGCGUUCCGGGCAGUCAGUGCACUGCUCAGCAGGAGGAGGUCCUGCAGGUGGUGGCUCAGCAGGAGGAGGUCCUGCAGGUGGUGCUGCAAGGGGUCGGCUGGCCGCAGGGGGGCCGGCAGCAGGGGGACUGCACAGACACAGGCUGGCAGCAGGUGGUGGCUCAGCAGGAGGAGGUCCUGCAGGUGGUGCUGCAAGGGGGGGGCCGGCAGCAGGGGGACUGCACAGACACAGGCUGGCAGCAGGUGGUGGCCCAGCAGCAGGGCCUGCACACC
rnacentral:lncRNA from 1 species